UGUUGCUGGUCUUUUGUGUAGACAUGUGCACGCUUGUCUCAUCUUUAUCAUUUCUCCAACUGUGCACAUUUUGUAGACCCUGGAGUCUUUUUGGAUUUUGUUCUCAGAGAUCAGGACUGCUGUGCUUCUUGUUUUGAGGUCGGCUUUCCUUGCAUCUCCAGGUCUAUGUUAUUUUUCAUAAUCUCUCAAAUGUUCAGAAUGGUUGGAUACAGGUGCUUUUGUACCUAUAAAAGUUAUAAUACAACUUUCAGCAACGGAUCUCUUGGCUCUCGCAUCGAUGAAGAACGCAGCGAAGUGCGAUAAGUAAUGUGAAUUGCAGAAUUCAGUGAAUCAUCGAAUCUUUGAACGCAUCUUGCGCUCCUUGGUAUUCCGAGGAGCAUGCCUGUUUGAGUGUCAUUCAACUUCUCAACCACAUGCCUAAUGUGGCUUGGACAUGGGGGGAUUAUUUUUUGCAGGCUUCAAAAAGAGGUCGGCUCCCCUGAAAUGCAUUAGUGGUAUCUGUGCCUUACUACUACUGGGUGUGAUAAAUUAUCUAUGCCCUUUGGUAUGCUGCAUGAACCAGAUUGCGCUGCUUCCAAAGAAAAAGUAACCUUGAUGAAUUUGACCUCAAAUCAGGUAGGACUACCCGCUGAACUUAAGCAUAUCAAUAAGCGGAGGAAAAGAAACUAACAAGGAUUCCCCUAGUAACUGCGAGUGAAGCGGGAAAAGCUCGAAUUUGAAAUCUGGCAGUUUGUUAAGCUGUCCGAGUUGUAAUCUAGAGAAGUGUUACCUGUGCUGGACCAUGUACAAGUCUCCUGGAAUGGAAGCAUCACAGAGGGUGAGAAUCCCGUCUUUGACAUGGACUGCCUGCACG
rnacentral:rRNA from 1 species